UAUAAUCCUCAAAAUUCAAACAGUGUCAGGUAUAAUGAUUAACAAGAGAUACUACAAAAAAGAAAAAUACCAAAGGGCCAAUCUAAAACCAUGUGGUGAAAAAAGACGACACACAACAACCAACAGAAAUGGUGGGAAAUUGUCUACACUGAUAACAAAAAAGUGUACAGCUUAAACCCAACCAAUGUCCAGGGAUGAACUAGGACAAAGAGCACCACCAAAUCAAAAAGCUGACAGGUUCUCAGACACUAAGCACCAACCAAACCAAAGGCCAGGGAUGAUCUCCAGCACUGAGCACCAACCAAAACAAAGAACAG
rnacentral:lncRNA from 1 species